GACGAACGCUGGCGGCGUGCUUAACACAUGCAAGUCGAACGGAAAGGCCCUGCUUUUGUGGGGUGCUCGAGUGGCAAACGGGUGAGUAACACGUGAGUAACCUGCCCUUGACUUUGGGAUAACUUCAGGAAACUGGGGCUAAUACCGGAUAGGAGCUCCUGCUGCAUGGUGGGGGUUGGAAAGUUUCGGCGGUUGGGGAUGGACUCGCGGCUUAUCAGCUUGUUGGUGGGGUAGUGGCUUACCAAGGCUUUGACGGGUAGCCGGCCUGAGAGGGUGACCGGCCACAUUGGGACUGAGAUACGGCCCAGACUCCUUCGGGAGGCAGCAGUGGGGAAUAUUGCACAAUGGGCGGAAGCCUGAUGCAGCAACGCCGCGUGCGGGAUGACGGCCUUCGGGUUGUAAACCGCUUUCGCCUGUGACGAAGCGUGAGUGACGGUAAUGGGUAAAGAAGCACCGGCUAACUACGUG
rnacentral:rRNA from 1 species